GUGCAUUUCUGUCAGGACAGAGCUGAAUGCAGGCACAACUUACUGGCUGAUCCAUUAGAGCUGGACUUUGUCAGAUGAAUGCUAUUUUUCAGUGGAUUGCCUGGCAUUCCCUUUCUGGUGUACUUAGACUUGGUGAUGGUUUUACUCAAACCUUUUGUGCAGACCACCAGUGCACUCCAGAUGCCCACAGAUGUGCAGCUUCAGGAACCCACUGAGGCUGUUCCCUGAAAUGAAAAUGAUAUGGAGAUGCUUUCCCAGCCAUUGACACAGCUUGACAAAGAUAACUUGUCUAAACAGUAGAAAUACCUCCUGUGCUGCACCAG
rnacentral:lncRNA from 1 species